UAUAUACACAUAUGUAUGUAUAUAUACAUAUAUAUUGUUUUCCAUAUGAGUCUGCAUUUAAGGCUCCCAUUUGACUUACAGAGUCAAUCCUAAAAUCUAGACCACAAGGUUGUGAAAAACUUGUUUCCGUUUUGUUGUUACAGAGAGGCAGCGCAAGGGAAAGCCAGCAAGCAGUGGAACUGGUCAGUGCGUCCGCCACCCCCAGGUGCUGUCCUGGUGAGAUCUGUCAGUCCUCUCCGCCUUGUGCACUGAUGCUGAAGACUCCCCCCUGACCAGAGCCUAGUCAUUUGCCAGGCUCUCCCCAUCACGGGGAGUUACACGGCAACUGAUCCUCAUGUUCACCCUGCUGUCAAAGCAUUCCAAUUUUUAAUCGCUACAUGACUUGUCAGAUUCAAUAUGAACCACAUGGUUACAAUUAAAACCUCUCUAAUAAGGAGAAUGCCAAAAAAAAGAGGGGUGGUGGUUUAGGCAUGUUUCCCGUCACUGUUCACAUUCUGAAACUAAGUUUAAGAAAGUUCCUCAACUAAAAUUUAUGUUUGCAUGUUGAGAAACUAAACUCUUAUGCCCUUAAUUCUUACGAUAAACCACAGAGUCAUUGAAACUAUGUGCCUGCACUUACUGAGUAUUUCUAAGGUUCUGGCUGACUCUCAUCGAGUACAUUUCCACUAUGGAAAAGAAUCCGUCUCCCAUGAUGAGGGAAGAAGGCAGCCAAACUCCGGUUCCAGAUCUGUCCACCACACCUGUCACUUCCGCACCUACUGGGAGACAUUUUCUUCUUGGCUACGUUGAGCUGGAAAUGCUGAAGCAUAUUUUAAGAACUCUUCUUUAACUCAAGAGAAGGAACUUUAUUUUCCUGAGAAUGAAAAACAAACUGAUUGCGACAUCACACUAUGAACCCACAUCAGUGAGUACACUUUUACCUCAACCAUUUUAUGAUUACUGCAAAAAUUCACAUGUUAGAAUUUGGGGUUAUGUAUUGAAAGAAUUAAAUUACAUCCAUUGUUUGUACUUUCCACUGUUUGGUCUUUGGGUGUUGUUUUUCUGUUUACCCAACAGAGUUUUCCACUCCGUCCAAUUCUUUGUGUGUACUUGGGAAGCAAAAGUCUUUACCUCUAAGAGGGCUGACCUGGGGCAUUGGUGCAGAUUAGAUGUCAUCCUGCACCAACUACCCAGCAUCCUCCACAGAUCAUAUUCUGCUUUAUAUCAUGUGGCCCAAUCCACUCGACUCACCAUUGAGAAUGAGGAACACUGCUACUGCUACAUCAUCACAGUGAUGAACGGUGCUUGA
rnacentral:lncRNA from 1 species